rnacentral:rRNA from 3 species
UCUGAAUCUGCGAACGGCUCCGCAAACCAGUUGUAAACCAAAGCAAGCAUACUCGGGGACUGCCCUUCACGGGGUGGGCUCGGGUGAUACGGAUAACCCUGGUAAUUCUGAGGCUAAUACGAGACUAUAAUCCCUGGCGGACCGGGCAACUGGGAAGCUGGGGGGCGUGCGAUCUAUUUGCAAGACGAUACCAGGAGGGGGUGCACGCUCUGACCGCGAUAAAGACGGUUCCGGUAAACCUUCGGGCGAGCUGGUUCCGAGCGGCUCUUGCGAUGUGCUUCUGACCUAUCAACUAGAUGGCAGCGUAACGGACAUGCCAUGGU